UGACAGUACUCCUACGGGGAGGCAGCAGUGGGGGAAUAUUGCACAAUGGGCGCAAGCCUGAUGCAGCCAUGCCGCGUGUGUGAAGAAGGCCUUCGGGUUGUAAAGCACUUUCAGUCGUGAGGAAGGUAGUGUAGUUAUAGCUGCAUUAUUUGACGUUAGCGACAGAAGAAGCACCGGCUAACUCCGUGCCAGCAGCCGCGGUAAUACGGAGGGUGCGAGCGUUAAUCGGAAUUACUGGGCGUAAAGCGCAUGCAGGUGGUUUGUUAAGUCAGAUGUGAAAGCCCGGGGCGUCAACCUCGGAAUAGCAUUUGAAACUAGGCAGACUAGAGUACUGUAGAGGGGGUAGGAAUUUCAGGUGUAGCGGUGAAAUAGCGUAGAGAUCUGAAGGAAUACCGGUGGCGAAGGCGGCCCCCUCGGACAGAUACUGACACUCAGAUGCGAAAGCGUGGGGAGCAAACAGGAUUAGAUACCCUGGUAG
rnacentral:rRNA from 1 species